CCGGAGUGGAAGUGACGCCCGAUGUCUGUGCACACGAUUUAAUUACAAGCCGGCCAGACGGCAUUCCCCAUACAUGCACAACAAGACCUUUCACUGUUGUACACUAUAGUGGUUGCUAUGACGAUUUGUCUUGGAAAACUCUGAACCAAAGAGAGGGCUCACAUGAAAUCGCUUUUUGUAACCAAUAACCUACUUUCACUAAACCGGAGCCUCCAGAGUGGCGCUGUGGCCUUUGCACUUCCUAUGAUUGUUUGCUGGAUUGGCAGUCAAGGUGACCACUGGAACAUCGGAUGGGUUCAGUGCUGUUCUCCACCUACCUCUUAGUUAACAGCCUUUAUUGUGGUUCUCCCUGGUGCGUUUUUCAAGCGGCUUUUGCUGGAGUUUGAGAUUUUUCCGCCACCAGAUAAGAGUACAUCAUUUUUUCCACUGAUUUUGCUGCUCUGUUCCCAAGGCAAUGAUUU